UACGUAGGGGGCAAGCGUUGUCCGGAUUUAUUGGGCGUAAAGCGCUCGCAGGCGGCUCGAUGCGUCGUGCGUGAAACACCCCGGCUCAACUGGGGAGGGUCGUGCGAUACGGUCGGGCUGGAGGCCAGUAGGGGGAUGCGGAAUUCCGGGUGUAGUGGUGGAAUGCGUAGAGAUCCGGAGGAACACCAGCGGCGAAGGCGGCAUCCUGGACUGGUACUGACGCUCAUGAGCGAAAGCGUGGGGAGCGAGUCCGG
rnacentral:rRNA from 1 species